GCUGUAGCUCAUUCGUAGAGCUCCCGCUUCGUACGCGGGAAGAUCUGGGUUCGAUUCCCAGCUGC
rnacentral:tRNA from 1 species